rnacentral:rRNA from 1 species
CAGUAGCCGCGGUAAUACGAGGGGGGCAAGCGUUGUUCGGAAUUAUUGGGCGUAAAGGGCGCGUAGGCGGUUUGGCAAGUUUGGUGUGAAAUCUUCGGGCUCAACUCGAAGUCUGCAUCGAAAACUGCCGGGCUUGAGUAUGGGAGAGGUGAGUGGAAUUUCCGGUGUAGCGGUGAAAUGCGUAGAGAUCGGGAGGAACAUCAGUGGCGAAGGCGGCCAUCUGGGACAACACCGACGCUGAGGCACGAAAGCGUGGGGAACAAACAGGAUUAGAUACCCCAGUAGUCCCUGUCUCUUAUAC